UCCAUUCUCAUCCUCACUCAGCUUCUAAUAACCUUGGCUUGAGUUUCUCCUCCCGUCAUCGAUCUUAUAAUAAUAUCAGUAAACAAAAUCAUGUCCUCCACCGCCUUCAAAGUGUUGGCAAUGACCAUUAUUUUAGCACUGGUGUUGCUCGUGUCCUGUGGUGCAAUAAUUCAUGAUGAUGCAACAACAAAUUUCAAACUCGGACGAAGACUUCUUGCCGAUUAUAACAUGCCUAUGCCUACCUAUCAACCAAUUGGAGGAGGAGGCUAUGUUGCCCCAACGCACCCAUAAUUGCUGAGAGAGUAUAGAGACUGAUCAGCUGGUUCUUGAACAAAUUAGAGGCAAAAGAUCUAUGCUAUUUACUAUUUGAAGACAAAUCUAUCAGAUAUUGUAUUUGUAUAUGCAUGCUAAUGCUAUGUUAUAUAUGUCUGAUGCCUAAAUAAGAUAUUAUUAAGGCUUCAGAUUCUGAUCAUAGUAUAUGCAUAAAAUAUGUUUGAAUAAAACUGUUAGUUGGGAAAUAAAAUGUACUCAUAUCAUAUGUGAGGAUUCGUGUGGCAUUGUAAUACUAAAAUAUUAAAGUGAAUACAUACAGUUGAAUAUUUUCAACGAAAUUCUUUCAAAAUUUUCCCACUAAAU